rnacentral:rRNA from 1 species
UACAGAGGGUGCGAGCGUUAAUCGGAAUUACUGGGCGUAAAGGGCGCGUAGGCGGCCACUGCAAGUCGGUUGUGAAAUCUCCGGGCUUAACCCGGAAAGGUCAAUCGAUACUGCAGGGCUAGAGUGCGGAAGGGGCAACUGGAAUUCUCGGUGUAGCGGUGAAAUGCGUAGAUAUCGAGAGGAACACCUGCGGCGAAGGCGGGUUGCUGGGCCGACACUGACGCUGACAGCGCGAAAGCUAGGGGAGCGAACGGG